rnacentral:lncRNA from 1 species
AUCAUCCACCAUGUCUGAAAGCGGUGGUGCUGAUGGGACCAUGGGUGGUGCUGUAGGGACAAUUUGGGAAUAUGUGUUGUAUUCUGUAUGGGGAUGAUAACUAGUGGAAGUUGUUGCUUCAUCAUUGUUUUCCCAUUUGUUUUUUUUGUUGGUUGGAGUAGAGUCGGGGUAGGUGGUAGGAGCCGUGGGUGUCGGUGUUGGCGGCACCACUGAACCAGAUUGGAGGGUGGUGGUGGUGGCGGUGGUGGUGGUCAUAGCCAGUGGUGACUCGGUGUCCAUUGGGGUUGUCUGAGGUGGUCCAAUAGCUGAUUGUUGGUUGUUGAAUGGAAAUGAAGGAUGCAUAACCUGAAAUAAGAAAAAACAAAUUUGCUGAUGUAAGCAUUAUGUANUAUAUAUAUAUAUAUAUAUAUGUAUGUAUUAUACCUGAGGGAUUCCUUUGCAAGCAUUGCAAAACCGUUGCAAGUUUUGCUUUUCGUUUUCGUUAACGGGUGCAAGUUUGAUGCGUGACUCUGUAAUUAAAAAAUUAAUUUAAGUUUAGUCAACAGAAAGUCAACUCGAUACUUUUACAAUAAAGUUGUGUUUGUUACAUGGGAGAGAGGAUUGGACAAGCUUUCAAGGGCUAUUUUUGAUGAGGAUGAGGAGGGUAUUUUGGUCAUUUAAACAAAAGAGAGAUCAAGUUCCCCCAACCUUGCUCAAACUUUUUUGGUGGGACAAGUGACAAAAUUGUUGUUUUUGCCUCAUUUACGUCGGUCACAAUCCCACGUUUUAAAUGAGACAAAAAAAAAUUGCAGCUUUUGUCUGAUUGACAUCUGUCCCAGUUCCAGUCCUAUUCUGUCAUGUGUCAUAUCUUGCAUCAAAUAGGACCUAAAGCUAUUUACGAUAUUUUUUUUAUAUAGAUAAUAGGCAUAUGUAAUCACUCAAAAUGAUCAUGAACAUCUAAAGACAAAAAAAAAAAUGGUAAGCUAAAAGCAUAUCUCAAGUUCCCAAGACAUUUUCCUAGACAACAACAAAUCAUUUUCCUACAUAAGUAAUGAUUUGGGGCUCCAUUUAAAAAUCUAAUUGGAAUUUGGAAUUUCUAACUAAAAUAAAAUUUUUGUUUAUGUGUGUGAAAAGUCCAAUCUAACUUAAACUCGAUAAACUUACGCCUAACUUGGGAGUGUAAAAUACAUCGCUUCCUUCUCCAGCGUCUUGGGACUAUAUGAAUAUAGAAGAGAAAUAAAUAGUGUACAAUAAAUACAAAUUCUAUAUUUCUACAAGUAAUUUUUAUCCAAAAGUGUCAAGAAUUUACUGUUGGAGCUAGUAAGAACAACUGUAGGAUCAGGUUGGUUAAAAUUUGGUUCAUCCAUGUUAGCCUUCCAUAGUGGAAUAAGUGCGCG